rnacentral:rRNA from 1 species
UACGUAGGGGGCAAGCGUUGUCCGGAUUUAUUGGGCGUAAAGCGUCUCGCAGGUGGUUCGAUGCGUCGUGGCGUGAAAGACCCCGGCUCAACUGGGGAGGGUCGUGCGAUACGGUCGAACUGGAGGCCAGUAGGGGGAUGCGGAAUUCCGGGUGUAGUGGUGGAAUGCGUAGAGAUCCGGAGGAACACCAGCGGCGAAGGCGGACAUCCUGGACUGGUCCUGACACUCAUGAGCGGAAAGCGUGGGGAGCGAAGUACCGG